rnacentral:rRNA from 1 species
ACAGAGGGUGCGAGCGUUAAUCGGAUUUACUGGGCGUAAAGCGUGCGUAGGCGGUUUGCUUAGUCAGCUGUGAAAGCCCCGGGCUCAACCUGGGAAUUGCAGUUGAUACUGGCAGACUGGAGAUCGGUAGAGGGUGGUGGAAUUCCCGGUGUAGCGGUGAAAUGCGUAGAUAUCGGGAGGAACAUCGAUGGCGAAGGCAACCACCUGGGCCUGAUCUGACGCUGAGGCACGAAAGCGUGGGGAGCAAACAGG